GACGAACGCUGGCGGCGUGCUUAACACAUGCAAGUCGAACGGAAAGGCCCUGCUUUUGUGGGGUGCUCGAGUGGCGAACGGGUGAGUAACACGUGAGUAACCUGCCCUUGACUUUGGGAUAACUUCAGGAAACUGGGGCUAAUACCGGAUAGGAGCUCCUGCUGCAUGGUGGGGGUUGGAAAGUUUCGGCGGUUGGGGAUGGACUCGCGGCUUAUCAGCUUGUUGGUGGGGUAGUGGCUUACCAAGGCUUUGACGGGUAGCCGGCCUGAGAGGGUGACCGGCCACAUUGGGACGGAGAUACGGCCCAGACUCCUACGGGAGGAAGGAGUGGGGAAUAUUGCACAAUGGGCGGAAGCCGGAUGCAGCAACGCCGCGUGCGGGAUGACGGCCUUCGGGUUGUAAACCGCUUUCGCCUGUGACGAAGCGUGAGUGACGGUAAUGGGGAAAGAAGCACCGGCUAACUACGU
rnacentral:rRNA from 1 species